AUGCAAGUCGAACGCAGUAGCAAUACUGAGUGGCAAACGGGUGAGUAUAAUGUGGGUAUCUGCCUUUUGGUUUGGAAUAACAUGAGGAAACUUGUGCUAAUACCGGAUAAGCCUUCACAGGGAAAGUUUUAUACGCCGAAAGAUGAGCCCGCACUUGAUUAGUUUGUUGGUGAGGUAAUGGCUCACCAAGACUAUUAUCAAUAGCUGGUCUGAGAGGACGAUCAGCCACAUUGGGACUGAGACACGGCCCAGACUCCUACGGGAGGCAGCAGUAAGGAAUCUUGCACAAUGGGGGAAACCCUGAUGCAGCGAUGCCGCGUGAGUGAAGAAGGCCCUUGGGUUGUAAAACUCUUUCGUCGGGGAAGAAAAUGACUGUACCCGAAUAAGAAGGUCCGGCUAACUUCGUGCCAGCAGCCGCGGUAAUACGAAGGGACCUAGCGUAGUUCGGAAUUACUGGGCUUAAAGAGCUCGUAGGUGGUUAAAAAAGUUGAUGGUGAAAUCCCAAGGCUCAACCUUGGAACUGCCAUCAAAACUUUUUAGCUAGAGUGUGAUAGAGGAAAGUGGAAUUUCUAGUGUAGAGGUGAAAUUCGUAGAUAUUAGAAAGAACACCAAAUGCGAAGGCAACUUUCUGGGUCACUACUGACACUGAGGAGCGAAAGCAUGGGUAGCGAAGAGGAUUAGAUACCCUCGUAGUCCAUGCCGUAAACGAUGUGUGCUAGACGUUGGAAAUAUAUUUUUCAGUGUCGCAGCGAAAGCAUUAAGCACACCGCCUGGGGAGUACGACCGCAAGGUUAAAACUCAAAUGAAUUGACGGGGACCCGCACAAGCAGUGGAGCAUGUGGUUUAAUUCGAAGAUACGCGCAGAACCUUACCAACACUUGACAUGUUCGUCGCGAGACCAA
rnacentral:rRNA from 1 species